UCAAGGUUUCCUCGCGCAACGUUCAUCGGCGCAGGGUGAGUCGGCCCCUAAGGCGAGGCAGAAAUGCGUAGUCGAUGGGAAGCAGGUUAAUAUUCCUGCACUUGUCUGUAGUGCGAUGUGGGGACGGAGAAAGUUAGGUCUACCGGGCGUUGGUUGUCCCGGGGAAAGGCGGUAGGCAUGAAGCGUAGGCAAAUCCGCGCUUCUUUAUGCCGAGCACCGAGACGAGUCCUAUUGGACGAAGUGACUGAUACUACGCUUCCAGGAAAAGCCACUAAGCUUCAGCUACAGAGAAACCGUACCGUAAACCGACACUGGUAGGCAGGGUGAGAAUCCCAAGGCGCUUGAGAGAACUCGGGUGAAGGAACUAGGCAAAAUGGCACCGUAACUUCGGGAGAAGGUGCGCCCUCCGACGUGGUCACAUGCGUGACUGAGCGUUAGAGGGUCGCAGUAACCUGGCCGCUGCGACUGUUUAUCAAAAACACAGCACUCUGCAAACACGAAAGUGGACGUAUAGGGUGUGACGCCUGCCCGGUGCUGGAAGGUUAAUUGAUGGGGUCAGCCGCAAGGCGAAGCUCUUGAUCGAAGCCCCAGUAAACGGCGGCCGUAACAAUAACGGUCCUAAGGUAGCGAAAUUCCUUGUCGGGUAAGUUCCGACCUGCACGAAUGGCGUAACGACAGCGGCGCUGUCUCCACCCGAGACUCAGUGAAAUUGAAAUCGCUGUGAAGAUGCAGCGUUCCCGCGGCAAGACGGAAAGACCCCGUGAACCUUUACUAUAGCUUUACACUGAACGUUGAGUUCUUCUGUGUAGGAUAGGUGGGAGGCUAUGAAACCGAGACGCUAGUUUCGGUGGAGCCAUCCUUGAAAUACCACCCUGAAGUGCUUGACGUUCUAACCUAGGUCCGUAAUCCGGAUCAGGGACCGUGUAUGGUGGGUAGUUUGACUGGGGCGGUCUCCUCCCAAAGAGUAACGGAGGAGCACGAAGGUACGCUCAGCGCGGUCGGACAUCGCGCACUGUGUGCAAAGGCAUAAGCGUGCUUGACUGCGAGAUCGACGGAUCAAGCAGGUACGAAAGUAGGUCUUAGUGAUCCGGUGGUUCUGUAUGGAAGGGCCAUCGCUCAACGGAUAAAAGGUACUCCGGGGAUAACAGGCUGAUACCGCCCAAGAGUUCAUAUCGACGGCGGUGUUUGGCACCUCGAUGUCGGCUCAUCACAUCCUGGGGCUGUAGCCGGUCCCAAGGGUAUGGCUGUUCGCCAUUUAAAGUGGUACGCGAGCUGGGUUCAGAACGUCGUGAGACAGUUCGGUCCCUAUCUGUCGUGGGCGUUGGAGAUUUGAGAGGGGCUGCUCCUAGUACGAGAGGACCGGAGUGGACGUUCCGCUGGUGUUCGGGUUGUCAUGCCCAUGGCAUUGCCCGGUAGCUACGAACGGAAGCGAUAACCGCUGAAAGCAUCUAAGCGGGAAGCGCGCCUCAAGAUGAGAUCUCCCGAGACUUCGAGUCUCCUUAAGGCACCAUCAAGACUAGGUGGUUGAUAGGCGCGGUGUGGAAGUGCAGCAAUGCAUUGAGCUUACGCGUACUAAUGAGCCGUGAGGCUUGAUC
rnacentral:rRNA from 1 species